rnacentral:rRNA from 1 species
GUUUGAUCCUGGCUCAGGACGAACGCUGGCGGCGUGCUUAACACAUGCAAGUCGAACGGAAAGGCCCUGCUUUUGUGGGGUGCUCGAGUGGCGAACGGGUGAGUAACACGUGAGUAACCUGCCCUUGACUUUGGGAUAACUUCAGGAAACUGGGGCUAAUACCGGAUAGGAGCUCCUGCUGCAUGGUGGGGGUUGGAAAGUUUCGGCGGUUGGGGAUGGACUCGCGGCUUAUCAGCUUGUUGGUGGGGUAGUGGCUUACCAAGGCUUUGACGGGUAGCCGGCCUGAGAGGGUGACCGGCCACAUUGGGACUGAGAUACGGCCCAGACUCCUACGGGAGGCAGCAGUGGGAAUAUUGCACAAUGGGCGGAAGCCUGAUGCAGCAACGCCGCGUGCGGGAUGACGGCCUUCGGGUUGUAAACCGCUUUCGCCUGUGACGAAGCGUGAGUGACGGUAAUGGGUAAAGAAGCACCGGCUAACUACGUGCCAGCAGCCGCGGUGAUACGUAGGGUGCGAGCGUUGUCCGGAUUUAUUGGGCGUAAAGGGCUCGUAGGUGGUUGAUCGCGUCGGAAGUGUAAUCUUGGGGCUUAACCCUGAGCGUGCUUUCGAUACGGGUUGACUUGAGGAAGGUAGGGGAGAAUGGAAUUCCUGGUGGAGCGGUGGAAUGCGCAGAUAUCAGGAGGAACACCAGUGGCGAAGGCGGUUCUCUGGGCCUUUCCUGACGCUGAGGAGCGAAAGCGUGGGGAGCGAACAGGCUUAGAUACCCUGGUAGUCCACGCUGUAAACGGUGGGUACUAGGUGUGGGGUCCAUUCCACGGGUUCCGCGCCGUAGCUAACGCUUUAAGUACCCCGCCUGGGGAGUACGGCCGCAAGGCUAAAACUCAAAGGAAUUGACGGGGCCCCGCACAAGCGGCGGAGCAUGCGGAUUAAUUCGAUGCAACGCGUAGAACCUUACCUGGGUUUGACAUGGAUCGGGAGUGCUCAGAGAUGGGUGUGCCUCUUUUGGGGUCGGUUCACAGGUGGUGCAUGGCUGUCGUCAGCUCGUGUCGUGAGAUGUUGGGUUAAGUCCCGCAAC